CCAAAAUCUACUAAACAGCUAAGAAAACACUAGUAAAUCCUUAAUACUAUUCCAGAAAAAGAAGAACAGAGCUAUAACUAAGAAAACCCAAGUCUUGAAUUUGUUUAAUCUUCAUCAACAGAUGGCUUUGAACCACCGGUUUUCUUUGGAAGCAAAAGGUUGUGAAUGUUGGGCAUCACACCACCAUUGGCAAUUGUUACAUCUCCGAGAAGUUUGCUUAGUUCCUCAUCGUUCCUCA